AUUGGCAGACAAAAUGUACCAUUUAUAAAAUGUAUAUAAAAAAUUUCAUUUUCUAUGAAAAUAAAUGGAAAAAGUCUUGUUUUUAUAAACAGCUCACCUGUCUGGAUUUGCCAAACAUUAAAUUCACAAUGAAAUGUCUGUCAACAUGAUGUCAGCAAUGGGUAAAGUGAACUAAAGUAUAAUGUAAACAAAUGUUUUUGUUUUUUUUUUACUAAUAACCGAUAAAAUCCAAGUUAAGAUAUGCAAAAUAAUAGGCUUUAUAAUGAGCAGUGGGGGGGCCCCUGUUGAGGUUACGAAAAGUACCGGUCAGGUUUUCAAAUUACUCAUCAUUGACAUUUCACAAAUAGACCUCAACACACAGGCUGUGCCCCAGUUAUAGAGUAAUACUGUCUCAGGUGACAUCCCAUCUCAUCUCUUACUUCCUGGUUCAUGGUAAGUCUAAAAACCUAAAAAAAUUUACCAUUUUCAUAGGCUCUAAUUAAGUUAAGUUAUUUUUCUCUGGAACUUUUCUGCUGGAUCUACACCCUAGUUUUAUUAACUCGUUCAUUUUCCUCUCUGCUCAUCUUUAUACACCCUCCUCUUCUUCUCAUCCUUUCAGAUGCAGCUGCUCUUUCAUGUGUCUUUCUUUUUGCUGUGCUGCCUGUUGUUACUCUCCCCUGUGCUCUCACUUCAGUGCGGCGAGGAACAAUACGCCUGGCCGUUUGAGAACUCUAAAAAAUGCUGUGCCAAGUGUGCACCAGGUACUUUCAUGACCCAGGACCCAGAUUACUCCUGCCACAAUGAGUGUGAAGAUUGCAACGGGGGUCGCUAUAUGGAAACCUACAAUGUGAAGACACAUUGUGAUGUCUGUGACACCUGCAGUAACCCAAACAUGGAACUUAAGAAAAACUGCAGUGUUACUGAAAACACGGUGUGUGGCUGUGAAGCAGGAUACCGGUGCAAAGAUCAGCCGUGCACAGUGUGUGUGAAGAUACCAAGUAGUACCCCCCCUCCAUCCACCACAGCCUUUUCAUCAGAGUCAGAACCAAUCGGUGGAGGUCAAGGUAAUAUCCUACAACAGUGGUUCCCAAACAGGGGUACGUGUACCCCUAGGUGUACAGGAGCACAUUGCAGGGGACAUGGUUUGGUUCCUGGUGAUACCUGCGAUGCUAUGUGGAGGAAUUAUUGUGUUUGUCGCAACCAAAAUAAAGCCCUGUCUGCACUGGAUAAGAGGCAGUCAUGGCAUUUUUCAUGUUGAGAAACCUGUGCCACAAGCUCCGUCUAAGGAGGCAGAGGAAAUGUCCUGGCCAGUCCAGGAAGUGUGUGAGGAAAGUCAAUACCCCGAUGAGAUACGGAUGGAACUUGAAGUACUUAAAUUCAAGGAAGUUUGA
rnacentral:lncRNA from 1 species